UCAAAUUAGGAGAGAACGUUGGUCGGA
rnacentral:piRNA from 1 species